rnacentral:lncRNA from 1 species
AUGAUGAAGGCUCUUCCAAUAGUGACAGUGAUGAAGAUGAUGAUGAUGAUGACGACGAAGGCUCUUCUGAUGACGAUGAUGAUGAUGGAGAUCUUCAUCAUCCCGCCGACAACCCCGGGGCUCUUCCAACACCGAUGAUGAUGAUGACGAUGAAGGCUCUUCUUCUUCUUCUUCUUCUUCUUCUGAUGAUGAUGAUGAUGAUGAUGAUGAUGAUGAUGAAGGCUCUUCCAAUAUUGAUGAUGAUGAUGAUGAUGAUGAUGAAGAUGAAGGCUCUUCCAAUGACGAUGAUGAAGAUGAUGAAGAUGAUGAUGAAGAUGAUUAUGAU